rnacentral:tRNA from 1 species
GGCAGUUUAGCAUAAAUGGUAAAGCACUCAGCUGAUGUCUUGGGAGGUGUGGGUUCAACUCCCAUGGCUGUUU